AAGGAUCAUUAAUGAAU
rnacentral:rRNA from 1 species